AUACUUACCUGGCAGAGGAGAAACCAUGAUCAGGAAGGUGGUUUUUCCAGGGUGAGACUCAUCUAUCACACUCCGGAUGUGCUGACCUGUGCAAUUUCCCCAAAUGCAGGAAACCAGACUGCAUAAUUUGUGGCAGUGGGGGACUGCGUUUGUGCUUUACACUG